AUUGAACGCUGGCGGCAUGCCUUACACAUGCAAGUCGAACGGUAACAGGUCUUCGGAUGCUGACGAGUGGCGAACGGGUGAGUAAUACACCGGAACGUGCCUAGUAGUGGGGGAUAACUACUCGAAAGAGUGGCUAAUACCGCAUGAGAUCUACGGAUGAAUGCAGGGGAUCGCAAGACCUUGUGCUACUAGAGCGGCCGAUGGCAGAUUAGGUAGUUGGUGGGACAAAAGCUUACCAAGCCGACGAUCUGUAGCUGGUCUGAGAGGACGAUCAGCCACACUGGGACUGAGACACGGCCCAGACUCCUACGGGAGGCAGCAGUGGGGAAUUUUGGACAAUGGGCGCAAGCCUGAUCCAGCAAUGCCGCGUGCAGGAUGAAGGCCUUCGGGUUGUAAACUGCUUUUGUACGGAACGAAAAGCCCUGGGUUAAUACCCUGGGGUCAUGACGGUACCGUAAGAAUAAGCACCGGCUAACUACGUGCCAGCCGCCGCGGUAACAC
rnacentral:rRNA from 1 species